UGAGAGGAUGAUCAGCAACACUGGGACUGAGACACGGCCCAGACUCCUACGGGAGGCAGCAGUGGGGAAUCUUAGACAAUGGGCGCAAGCCUGAUCUAGCCAUGCCGCGUGAGUGAUGAAGGCCUUAGGGUCGUAAAGCUCUUUCGCCUGUGAAGAUAAUGACUGUAGCAGGUAAAGAAACCCCGGCUAACUCCGUGCCAGCAGCCGCGGUAAUACGGAGGGGGUUAGCGUUGUUCGGAAUU
rnacentral:rRNA from 14 species